AGACCUUGAAGUAAAAAUAUUAUCCAAGUUAUAUUUGUUCUUAUCAGUUUAAUAUCUGAUAUGUUCUUUGAGGACUGUAUAUUAAAUUGAUUUUUGAAACGGGGGGCCGGAAUAGGAGCUUGCUCUGUCCACCCCAUGGAUUGACCUGGUAUUGCAGUACCUCCAGGACCGGGGGAAAAAAA